ACUUUAUCCACAGACUUUUGUACAUAUAUAUAUUAUAUAUAUAUAUAUGGAAUGUACAAAAGUCUGUGGCAAUUUU
rnacentral:pre_miRNA from 1 species